GUCUACAGCCAUACCACCCUGAAUGCACCUGAUUCCAUCAGAUCUUGGAAGCUAAGCAGGGUUGGCCUGGUUAGUACUUGAAAGGGAGAAACCAGCCACAGUUAACU
rnacentral:rRNA from 1 species